AAAAUGUUCAACAUAAGUGAUGGCAAAGAAAAAUAAGUAAAUAAAUAAAUUGAUGCAUUGCUAGAAAAUUGGCUAGCUUUUAUGUCCAGGUUAAUAUUAACAAAUAUACACCAGGCACCUUAUCUACCAAUAAUAGGGAUCGGCUAUUCUCUAAAGAGUAAAGACUUGCUAAAUAAUGCUCUGAGAGGAUGAGAAUAGCCAAAAUAAUGAAUGCAUUUAUCCAACAAUUGCAAGUAAGCUUUGCCUAACUGCUGGAACUGAGCAAAGUAAUGAGCCAAAUAUACCAGUAAGAGCAUAAGCUAUGGCACAAAAUGGUAGAGCUUCAGGCUCCUUAGCUGACAAUGCUGCUGUUCCCAGUCCAUGAGCACUAGAAGCGGUUGCUAUUCCUCGAGCAAUAGGAUCCUGAAACUUUAAUUUAUCAAGUGUUGUUUGCACAAAGUUUGCUCCAAUAAGACCAGUUACUACAACAACGGCUGCUGUAAUGGAUGAGUUAGCGCCUGCAAAUGACAUUUGAAAUGAUUCCCUCAAAGAUGUUCUGAUUGAUUGAAAUUUAAAUGUUUACAUUGAAUGGUGUCCUAAACUUUGCAAAAUUGAAAUUCUAAAAGAAAUUAAAAUUGGAUACAUUCCUCAAUAAUACAUUUGUGCUUUGAUAUUUAAGAGAGAAAAUUUUUCAUAUCAUUUUCAUUAAAUGAUGCUUGUAUGAAGCCCAUAUUUCAUAAUAUAGCAAUCAAAUACGAUCCUUAUAUAUAUAUAGAAGUGGCCACAGUCCAGUUCAAUAUCAGAUUGGUUUAACUCACAAUUAAAAACAGACUGAAAUCGAUUAAGACCGGAUUAAUCAAAAUUCGAUCUUGAAUUCGACCAAAUCAGUUGGUCCAGCUCCAAACCCUAACUGGAUUUUUUCCUUUUCUAAAAAAUAAAAACAUUUUAAAAAAAAAUUCAAUGGUUGAAUUUGAUCAAAACUGGACCAAACCAAAAUGGAAUUGAGAUUGAAUUGAAACCAAAACUAGAAUCAGAAACAGAAUCAAAGGGGGCUCUGUGGUCUGAUUUCAGAUCUUCUGAACCCUGAACUGGAACCAGCCUAGAUGGUUGGCCACCGCUAAUAAUAUGGAAUGCAUGAUAGUUGCUGCAGCAUUUUAAAUAUCUUUGUACCUUCAAAUAAUGAUACUAUGCUGAGAGCUAAUGCAACAGUAAUACAUCUGGGCAGAAUAGAUACAGUCAAAGUUGGUUCUAACCCAACAAGAAGUCCAAUAAGAGCAGUUGAAAAUAAUAAGAAAAUUGUCGAAAGAAUGACAGAUGUGAAAAUCUCAGCCGCAGUGAACAAUCUCGAGACAAAGUGGCCAAUCAAAUUUCCUUUGGAUCAUGCAAUGCAAUGUGCAACGGUCAACAAGUCUCAGGAUGUUCACUGCUUAUUUUUUGUUGGUCAUAUUGAGUUUCUGAUCUAUUUUCUUCCAUUACUUAAAGACUACAAAAUAUCAUUGUGAUAAUGAACAUAACUUUGCAGGAACCUUGCCUAAUAUAAUUCCAACUAAUUAUAUUAAAAUCUUAACAUAAUCACUGAAAACAAAGUACUUACCUUUCUUUGCUUGAAUAUUGAGAAGGCAAAAGAAAGAAUAACAGAACCCAAAAAUCCCAUCAGUACAUCACCGGCUCCAGGAUUAGAAGACGCUUUUGUAAGAUAACAUCCUAGAACAGGAUCAAGUCCAGAUCGAGAAAGAUAUCCAAAAGCCACUGCGGCUAAUUCUGCAGAAAGUGUACAACAAAUGAUAGGAUGGAAAACCAAAAGAGAGAAUGAACUAAUAACAGCAAUUCAUUAGUAGUAAAUGAUAAUUAAAGAAUGAUACAUAUUUUUUUUCUCUUUUCUAAUCUUGUUAAAUGUAAGCAUAUAUCUGCUAAUUGCAACAGAGCAACACUCAAUGAUGUUACUUUUUAGGAGAAAGCAUGCAAGAACUUGAGUUGAAUCCUUUUUCCCACCUCCUAUCUCAUUUAAUAAAGAGGAAAUUGCAGAUAUUCUAACAUGAGAAUAUUGAAAUUUUACCCAGAACCAACCAUGUAGCCUAACACAGUGGAUGCUAGAAGAAAAGGAAGGCACGUCCGAGCAGCUGUCCCCAGUGAAGUUGGAUAAAAUAGUGCAGCAACAAAUGAUAUAAGGAAGAUCCCACUCCAAGACCAUAUUUCUAUUGAAGAAAAUGGAGAAGGUUUUGCCGUAGGCUCAGCAUCUGUCAUUUCUGUUUUCACCAUUUUCCUUACAGCAAUAGCUGUGAAUCCUGCAACACACAGUGAAGCAAACCAGCCUCCAGCAAUGAUGAAGCAAAUCUUGGCGCCUGAAGCUGCAGGGAUAUCUUUUACAGAAAGAGGCAAAACAACUAAUGAUGGAACAUAGAACAAUGGAAGCCAUCUCUGUAUGAACAUAAGUGCUGGGUGGAAGAAGUUCAUCAAGCUUGUUGCAGCAGCAGGAAUGGUAGAAUCAAGGAUUAAUAGAACUGAGAAUAUGCAAAACAUGCCAAAUAAAGCACUUGGGAACUUGAUAGCAGCAGCCACAAAUGCCUUUUUCAAUAACUUAUCCGUUGCAAGAAUAAUCCCAAGCGAAACAAGUAGAUGUAAAAUUUGGAACACCUAAUAAACCAAACAAAACCAGUUUACCAUAUACCAAACAAAAAUAAAUUACACACCAAAGUUGAUAAGAAAACACUAUAGCAUACUGUAUCUAUAGUUACAAUUCCCAGCUGCAGACAUGAAAAAUAGUAACCAAUAUACAACAAUAGCCAUCAAAAUAAACACUUUUCUAACUAUUUACAAGUUAAGAAAAAAAAAUUCUUUAUUAGAGAUUAAAUUCCCACAUUUAAAAUAUAUAAAAGAGGUUAAGGCUUGAUAACAUCUUAGAACCUCUAAGGCUCUAACCUUAACUCUUGAGUUUUGAGAUUGAACAUGGAAUUUUAAUAUGGCAUAGCUGACUCUACACUUCUCCUUAAUUCGAUAUUUUAGCUACGAAUUUUAAAUCCAUGUAGUAAUAGCUAAUCCAUUGAAUAUAAUCUAUUAGCCUCAAAGAAAUAAAGUAUCUAACUGAAAAUAUUAGUUGAGGUUUUAAUAACCAUAGCAAUAACCAGCUUAUUAACCAUAGUGUUCUUCCACAAAAACAUAUAUACAAUAGUUAAUCAAAAUUAUAGCCUUGAAUUUUAAUAAUUAUGACAAUAAUUUGCUCAUUUUUACAACAAAUAUUAUAUCCAAUUGAAAAUUUUAGCUAUUAAUUUUAAAUAAUGAUGUCAAUAAUUGGCUUAUUAAUCACAAAAUAUUAUAGUUAAUUGAAAAUUUUGUUUAUAACUUUUUUCUUUUAUUAUAGUUGCAAUAUUAUUUAAUUACAACAUGUUAGCCAUAGUCAUAGCUAAUUUGAAAGUUCAUCCUUAGACCUUGACUAACCAUAAUGAUAGUAAUUUUAAUAAUAUCAAUAUCAUGAUUAUAGCCAUUUCA
rnacentral:misc_RNA from 1 species